UCAAACUUAUGCCUUUACUGUUCCAGACAAUUCAAAUAGCAACUUUCUUUUCAUCCUCUUUCAAAAUAACCUCAAAAUCGUUUCACAUGAGAUAAAUAUGUAGUAAUGACUUUUUGUUUACGCUUUUCUUCCUGUGCAUUUUAAUGUUAUUUUUCUUCCCAUCAUAAGCUCUUUCGUGGGGUUUUUCUUUGGUAGAUUCACUAUUAUACCAAUAUAGGAGCCCACAUUUUUAUUAAAAAAAAAAACUCUGUAAAAAAUGGACUUUAGAAACAUACUCAAAGCUCAUUUAUAACAUAUCAAAGAGGUUUUUAACUUCUUGUAAAUUACAAAACUGUUAUCGAUUUUUUAAAACAAGCCCAACCCCAAAACCUCAUAAACCCAAAACACUGAAUAGGACAGCAAAGUAAUUUAAUAAUCCAAAUUAAAUUCAAUAGGGCCAGCUGCCAUUUUUUUGAGUUUUUUUUUUGUUUGUUUAUAGAAAUUAAAUGGUGUAAGUUUAUCUAUAUCAUUAGUGCUAAGAAUGAGUAUAUGACUUAAUAUCUCUUUUUAUUUUUCCUAUCGUUUUGACCUUUUAAAUGAGAUUAUUGCUGGACAUGAAGGACAAUUUCAUGUAAUUAUUUGGGUACAAAAUUUGAAAGUUUUGAAAAAUUUGAUUCUUCACAAUGGUCAAACUUU
rnacentral:lncRNA from 1 species